AUGCAGAGAGGAGACUCCCAUGUGGUAAAGGAGACACAGGGAACUUGUAGUGGCAGAGGCAGAGAUUGGAGGGAAGCACCGGGGAGCCCAAGGAAACUAGGAGAGAAGGAAGGAAGGAUGGUCUCCCGAUGCUCCCAGGAAGCCCAGCCCAGACAUCUGCAGUGUAGACACAGACUCCACAAUGUGACAGAAUGUGUUUCUAUUGCUGCCAGCUACCCCGUUUGUGACCAUUUGUUACGGCAGCCCCAGGAAAUGAGUGCGGUCUAUUUUUACCUGUAUCUUGAGUCUUCGUCUGGGAAUGAGGUCAACCAAGAAUCACAGUGCUGUUCAUUUCAGACAUGGGAGCAGAAGACAAGAUUUCAGACUCAUACACACGGCGACCCCAUGCCCGACUUCAAAAAAACAGUGAUUCAUCCAGACACCAAAGCUCAGCAGCUCAGAGUCAACCUCAAAUAUAGUCAAAGCUCACCAAGUGCUCUCCCAAGAAAAAUAGAACAUAAGUGCCAGAUGACCUGCGGCAUAUUUUUAGGGACGUGCCUAUCCCAUAUACUUCUUGCUCCCUCACAUAGAAGGAAAUCUGUAGAAUAACACCUCCAACUGAGCCUCUCUUCCUCCAACUCUUCUGCUCCGCAGCCCAUGGAGGAUGGAUAGGGCCAUCGUUGGAGAAACAGCAUGUGAGACAUGGCUUCUUCACGAUGACUGCGAGGCUCAGCACCCCGAUGUUGGGGGCCCAAGCCGCCAUGACUCCAUGAACUUUUUCAUUCUCAAAGUUGCAAUGAAUGAAAAGCCUUCUCCAACCUCGAGUAGGGGAACUAACUGAGUCUUGGAACAUAAAAAGCAAUUCCUGGCUUUAUUCUUACUGCUGUCAACGUGGUUUAUGCAAAAACACAGGGUGGGAUUUAUAAAAAUGUGUCUAAAACCUAAUCUCUGUGCUGAGCAGUUGGGGAGAUUGAAACAAUUUACGUCCCAUCUCUUUCAACGUUUGUCCAUGUAUUUAAAUGCUUUUGGGGGGAUUGCAUCACUUUCAGCUUUUAUCCAUUUAGAUGCUUUUGAGGGUGGGGGGUCUUCUCCUAUUUUGCUUCCAAAUGGGUAACGUGCAUGAAGACUAACAAACACAGUGUCCAUAUCAUUGUCCCCAUAACCCAGCCACAGAUUAUGUAGACUCCAUACAGAAGAACAGCUGAUGGAUGACAGAAAAGCAAGGAUUCAUGACUCGGUUUUUAGGGAUGUGGGGCUGGCACGCUCCUUGAGAUAAUUUCCGCCUAUCGAGCAAACUCCACAUAAGAAAGCGUUGUAUCCAUGGCACUGACUUCUUCGCGAAAGGAAGAAGACCUUAUAAUACCUCCAUCCCCCAACUUUGUAAGGCCGUCAUCCAAAGAAGGGUCUGGAGCACCAUUACCCUCAAAGCACUAAGCAUGGAGAACCAUACAUUGUCCUAUGAUAUGGUUGAUCCCAUUUACCAUUUACCGCACAACAAAAUAUAUAUCAAAAUAUGUAUCAUAUCAAUAAAUAUGGUGGACAAAUAUGUUCA
rnacentral:lncRNA from 12 species